rnacentral:rRNA from 1 species
GACGAACGCUGGCGGCGUGCUUAACACAUGCAAGUCGAACUGAAAGGCCCUGCUUUUGUGGGGUGCUCGAGUGGCGAACAGGUGAGUAACACGUGAGUAACCUGCCCUUGACUUUGGGAUAACUUCAGGAAACUGGGGCUAAUACCGGAUAGGAGCUCCUGCUGCAUGGUGGGGGUUGGAAAGUUUCGGCGGUUGGGGAUGGACUCGCGGCUUAUCAGCUUGUUGGUGGGGUAGUGGCUUACCAAGGCUUUGACGGGUAGCCGGCCUGAGAGGGUGACCGGCCACAUUGGGACUGAGAUACGGCCCAGACUCCUACGGGAGGCAGCAGUGGGGAAUAUUGCACAAUGGGCGGAAGCCUGAUGCAGCAACGCCGCGUGCGGGAUGACGGCCUUCGGGUUGUAAACCGCUUUCGCCUGUGACGAAGCGUGAGUGACGGUAAUGGGUAAAGAAGCACCGGCUAACUACGUG